rnacentral:SRP_RNA from 1 species
UGCCAGGCUCGGUGCAAUUUCAGAUUAUGAACCAGGUCAGAUUCGGAAGAAAGCAGCCUUAAGUAGCCCCUGAGAUGUGUCAUCGAUGUCCUGGUUUUA